rnacentral:piRNA from 1 species
UGGAAGAGGAUAUGAUCCCCAUUU